GACCAUCCAUGCUACCUUCGUAAACUCACGAACAUAGUGAAACUAUAAGCGGAGUAGAUACAAGUGUACGGUAUCCUCAUUACAUUUGAUGAGAACAAAAAACGCUUGUUCACCGGAUUUGAUGAACAGUAGUUGUCUUUGUGCUUUACUAGGCCUCUAUCGAGUAGCACGGAUGCUCGUGACGGAGGACGGAGUAGGUGAACACAGUGCGAAAGGCUCGAGAGCGCGUAGGCACAGUUGUUCGAGGUAGACCUUCCUGGUGCCCUUUAAGUUGGUCCGUCCUUUAGACACGAGAACGAACGAGUUAGUUCGUUGUAUACAUUUUGGCCGGAGACUUGCUCCUUAGUUAACGAUCAUUUGUGCGUCGAUUGUGGAGUUAAAGAGCUGUCGCCGUGAUCAUUAUAAGGUAGCAUGUCGUUGCUUAAUUGGUAAUAGUUGUACCUCAUUUGAUUUGUUCUUGCUGGCUUCGCUAUCCUGACCUGAUGACCAGCUUAAACUGAUGACCGACUACCUCUACCUGAAACAGAGUCCGGGAAGCCCCGUGCUCCGCACCCGCGUCGCCGAAGAAGUACUGCUGCCACUUGAGCAAGAAGAGCCGCUUCAGGUGGAGGAGCGGCCCCUGGAGGACGGUGAGCUUGAGGGAAUGGUACAACCGGUGCUUCAUGAGGUCCACCUCGUACCGCUACGGGUCGGGCCGCGUCUAGGAGGCCGGGUGCGGCUUGCCGUAGUAGAACUAGAGGGCUAACGGCCAGUGCAGGUGGCGAAGCGGACGCGGCGGACCGUCCUUGGCGAGGCCGUUCUUGAGGCAACCGAAGAGGGUGAGGGCGAGCAGGGACGAGUAGAGCCGGUGGUACUUCAAGUGGCAGCGGGGGAACCCUUAGUCCAUGGGCGGCUGGAGGUACAGGAGGCGGCGGAACACGCCGUCGUGCUUCACGCGGCCACCCACGAAGGCCUCCGGGAGCUCGUGGUGGCGGAACUCCAUGCCGUAGAACACCUGCAGGAGGAGGCUCUGGAGCAGGACCAGCAGGGGGAAGCACCGCGACUAGAGAAACAUCUCGAAGAGGACCUACCGGCCCAAGAAGUGGUCGAGCCGGUACUAGGUGACGUUGGGCCACCUCCACCACAGCCAGGGCCGCAGCUCCUUGAGCCUUGUCUCCAACUAGUAGAGCAACAGCCAGUCGCCCGCCAAAGGGAGGAGCCCCUCGAAUUACAGCUCGUCCCGCAGCUGCAUCCUCACGAGCUUGCACGAGAGAAAGAACCCGAGCGGCGGCUCAAAGGACAUGAGGGCGGCUCGCAACUAGUCGCCGUGCUUGUCCAGGAAGAAGGCGGCGACGUACCGCACGUGCCAGACCUCCGCCAGCGCCAUCUCCACGAACCAGUGGCUGCCGUCCUUCCGCUUCUGCCGGUAGAAGGAGCUGGACAUCUACUCGCCGAGCGCGACCCGCCGUCGCUAGCGCGCCUGGCACCGGAGCAGCUCGGCGAGUGGCUUCGUGUACUCGUGCUCCUCUGUCUUGUACCGCAUGACCUUACAGAGGUGCUGCCGGCGCGGCGGCCUCCUGCUGAGUAGUGCGUCGAAGAGCCGGUCGUGCGCCGCGUGGGUCCUCGCGCGCCCCCGCUUCUCCGCCUGGGCGCUGCCCACGUCGCAGAGCCUCUGCUCCAACGCCGCGUCCUCCGCGGUGUGCCCCGGCAUCGACCGCGCGCACUACCACAACAGCAAGAGCGGGUCGUCGAAGUCGCUUCCCUCCCGCCCCGCCAGGCGCUCGCACCGCGGCGCGAGCUGCUCGCGGCGCACGCGCUCCGCCGCCAGCCGCUGCUUCUACCUCUCCGCCCUGGGGUGCGCGUCCCUGUGCUACCCCGGCAUCGCGAACUUGUCCGCGGCCUCGUCCCCGAGGUGCAGCCGCUCGCUCAACCAGUCGGUGUGGUGCGACGGGUCGUGGCCGUCCCUGCCGCCCGGCCCGCCCUGCGCCUCCGCCGGCGGGAACGCCGGCGCCUCCUCAUCCUAGUCGCCCUACCGCUUCUCCUAGCUCGGCUCUUUCUACACGGUGCACAGGUACCGCUCGCACACCACGAGAAGGCGAGAGAGGACGACCUUACCUACGCCUCCUGACUCUACUCCUACCACACCUCGUCACGCCAACGGCAAAAUUGAUCGUCUACCUUGCAC
rnacentral:rRNA from 1 species